rnacentral:rRNA from 1 species
GACGAACGCUGGCGGCGUGCUUAAUACAUGCAAGUUGAGCGAUGAAGAUUGGUGCUUGCACCAAUUUGAAGAGCAGCGAACGGGUGAGUAACGCGUGGGGAAUCUGCCUUUGAGCGGGGGACAACAUUUGGAAACGAAUGCUAAUACCGCAUAACAACUUUAAACAUAAGUUUUAAGUUUGAAAGAUGCAAUUGCAUCACUCAAAGAUGAUCCCGCGUUGUAUUAGCUAGUUGGUGAGGUAAAGGCUCACCAAGGCGAUGAUACAUAGCCGACCUGAGAGGGUGAUCGGCCACAUUGGGACUGAGACACGGCCCAAACUCCUACGGGAGGCAGCAGUAGGGAAUCUUCGGCAAUGGACGAAAGUCUGACCGAGCAACGCCGCGUGAGUGAAGAAGGUUGUCGGAUCGUAAAACUCUGUUGGUAGAGAAGAACGUUGGUGAGAGUGGAAAGCUCAUCAAGUGACGGUAACUACCCAGAAAGGGACGGCUAACUACGUG